rnacentral:rRNA from 1 species
CACGUUAUAGAUGGCACAAGAAUAGGCUUCGGCUUAGCGUCUUAGCAGGCGAUUCUUCCACGGCGCUCGAAGCGCGUCGUGGUAUUUCGCGUAUUGUAAUUUCAACACGAGCGGGGUCAAAUCCUUUGCAGACGACUUAGCUGUGCGAAACGGUCCUGUAAGCAGUAGAGUAGCCUUGUUGUUACGAUCUGCUGAGGGUAAGCCGUCCUUCGCCUCGAUUU